rnacentral:tRNA from 1 species
CGGGGUGUAGCUCAAUGGUAGAGCAAGCGUCCUAGAAGCGCAAGGUUACAGGUUCGAAUCCUGUCGCCCCGACCA